UUUGCUAUAGACUAUUAUAAAGAUUAUUGUGCUGAAAACAUAAUUUUUAGUCGGUCCAACCAAUAUUCCGAAUUUGAAAGAAGAUAUAUUCGUCAGUCCGACAUUUUAGAUUUUUUGGGAGAAGACGAAGAGAAUGUGUAUUUACAAUGUUUAAAUGAUUAUAGGACGGCUAAUCCUGAUUCGGUACAACAAAGUGAUAAGAUAGGCUUCGAAGAAUUUAGGGGAAUUAUGAAUUUGAUUUGCUCAACAAAACAACAAUUUGAUUUAAAAAAAUUCCUUAGAAAAAGAAUAGCAGUAAUUGUGGUUAUAAAAAAAGCUUUUGAUUUGACUUAUGAAGUCUUCACUAAAACUGGAGAAAAAUUUAUUCGACUGGCUGACUUUUUAUUUUUUAUGGGUGGAUACGAGAAAAACUAUUUGGAGGCAGCGAAUUCAGUUUUAUUAGAAGGAAAAAAAGAGCUAUACAUGAAGGAUUUUAAGAACAUUUUGUAUUUGAUUUUCUCAAAUCAAGAAUUUGUUGUGAAAGACUUUCUCGAAGAAAGGAUAGCAGUAGUUCAGGUGUAGAUAUAAUAUUAUAUUAGUAUUGCUUAAUCUAUAUUGUAAUAUUACUAUAGAUAAAAUAUUAAUAAUACAUUUAAAUAUCUUCACUUACAUGCACAAAAACUACAUUACACAAUUAUAAUAUUAAAAAUGUUAUUAAGGUUAAGUAUAUUAUUUUUGAUUUUAUUUUAAAUAUUAAAAGUGAUAAAAGGUGUUACG